CCUGUGAUGAGGGAAAUGGCAUCAUCCUGGUGGCCACAGGCUCAGGUCCAUCGCAGAGGGCACCUUGUGACAACCUUUUGGUCACCCAAGGGCUCUGUGGAGGAAACAUCCCGCCGGGUGGGGACUGUCCCCCCUGGGAGGGCCCCAUGGUCACCGGGAUGGGGCGGGCUCGCUGGCAGCGGUGGGGCCGGUCGGAACAGUCUGAGCACAUUCCUGGGUGUGGGCACUGCCAGCGACUUGGGGUCCUGCAGCCUGGGGACUGUAGCACGACAAGGGGACACUGAAGCCGUCUCUAAGAUGGACCUUCUGGAGCAGGUAGCUGGGGAGCCACCGGGGAGGCCACUGUAUCCCAUUCCUGUUGUCCCACCCUGGGGUCGUGGCACCUGCAUUGUUUGUGCUGAGUGUGAGGGAAAGGGGACAUGGGUGAAUGGAAAGGGUGUUGGAGGUGAGCUCCUUGCUGCAGACCCUGCAGGACAAGGUCCCACCAUUCCUCCAGCCCCGGUACUGGCUGCGUUCCUGGAUGUGGCAGGUGAGCAGCUCCAAGCAGGUAAGUGCCAGCAUCCACUGCUGCACCCCACACUACCCAUCUUACCACCUAUAGGGCAAACCUGGGUUUACUCAGUACCCAUGGGUGCUCUGCACUCGAGCUGUCCACCUGAGUUGGCUGGAGAUGAUCUCCCAGAUCUCUUUCCUGGUCCAUGGAGACCCAGACCACUGUGGGACAGGGACAAACCUGUGGGAUAUCACCAGGCUGGAGGUGACAUGUGGUGGUGUCCCCAGGCGGUGGCAGGAGCGGCAAGCACAGUGGCGUUCUUCCUCUGUGAAGGGCUGCUGGGUCAGCACUUUGAUGUGGUGCCCAGCGGGGUGGCUGAGCCCCAGCCUGGGGACCUCUUCCUCUUCCCACUGGCCUCGGGGAGACCCGGCUGGUGGGGUGCCCACGCUGGCGUCUAUUGCGGUGAUGGGGAGAUCAUCCAUCUGGAAGGUAAGCAGUGGGGGGCAACUCCACACGGGACACGGGGAAUAGAAGCUCAUGCUUGGGGACCCCAACCCUCCUUGGGCACCUUGACCCUAUCUGGGGAUCCAACACCUCAGGUCAGCCCAAGCCUCCUUGAUAACCUCAACCCUCCUUGGAGAUCUCAGCUCUAUUUGGGAAACCCAUACCCCAGGUUACCUCGAACCCUCCUUGAUGACCCCAACUCUACUUGGGCACCUCAGUCUUAUUUGGGGACCAGUCCUCCUUGGGAAAUUCAACUCUAUUUGGGGGUCCAACUCUUCUGCUGAUCCCAACCCUCCAUCACCCAAACCUUCUUGAUGACCCCAACACUACUUGAGCACUUCAAACACAUUUGGACACCUCAACCCUAUUUGGGGACCCAACUCUCCCUUGUGACCCUCAACCUUCUUUGAAGGCCAUCUCCUCCACACCACAGGCACCUCAGGAACAUCCCCAACAGGGAUUGUGGCCAAGCACAGUAAGAGCCACCUCCUGAGGACACGGGGCCCUGCCAAGGUGCUGCGGAUGAAGGGGGGACUGGAUGCGGCUGCCCUGCAGUGGCGGGUCCGAGCAGCCAUGGACAUGGUGCUGGAGUAUGACGCUGUCACCUGUAACUGCAUCCACUUUGCCCUUGCCCUGCUGGGGCUGGGCCAGCCCACUGGGGACUUGAGCUGUCUUCUCUCCUAGACGGUCCCAGCGCUGCAGUGAAGGAGGUGGUGAUGUGACCUGGGGAACAGGCAGGUCUGGAGCAUCUUCCUGGGCUACCAGUGGGAUGAAGGAUACAAGAUAAAGGAUAUGGGAAUAUGAAUGUAGGGUUGUCACCACCCAAAUGGAUGAGGGUCACGGAGAUUUUGAAGUUCCCUUGGACUAAAUUAAGGUGAAAAGACACCAAACAAGUGGCUGAAUGUUUAUUUGUAUCCCACUAAGUUAUUUUGCUCAGGAUGUGGAGUAUAUAUCUAUACCUUAUUGGCAAUAAGGGUUACAUGCAGGGUAAAUAUGUUCUCUAAUAUCAGGGAUGUUUUCAUCUCCUACGUAUAUCCCAUAUCCAGUUUGAAAAUCCAUGUACACUAUAUAAAGCAUUUAGCAGAAUUAUUAAAAUUUAGAACAAAU